AAAGUCGUAACAAGGUUUCCGUAGGUGAACCUGCGGAAGGAUCAUUAACGAUAAGGGCGUCUUGACAAUUUGUCUGGCGCUCUAUAGGUCACACACGGUUAGCUCUGCAACAUUGGGUGUAAAGACUAGAUCGAUUCCGAUGUUGCACCUCGCCGGUGUCCUACAAACCACAAUGUGCACCGUAUAUAUGCCAUUUGCGUAAUUUUCUAUUUGUUUGUCUGAUGUUUACAUUCUCUGAUUUUGGCUUCAUUGCCGAAUGACUGAAAAUAAAACAACUUUUAACAAUGGAUCUCUUGGCUCUC
rnacentral:misc_RNA from 1 species